rnacentral:rRNA from 1 species
UACGGGGGGAGCAAGCGUUGUUCGGAUUUACUGGGCGUAAAGCGCACGUAGGCGGCUUUUCAAGUCCCAUGUGAAAGCCCACGGCUUAACCGUGGAAGUGCAUGGGAAACUGGAAGCUUGAGUACUUAAGAGGAUCGCGGAAUUCCCGGUGUAGAGGUGAAAUUCGUAGAUAUCGGGAGGAACACCAGUGGCGAAGGCGGCGAUCUGGGAAGAUACUGACGCUGAGGUGCGAAAGCGUGGGGAGCAAACAGG